rnacentral:rRNA from 1 species
UACGAAGGGUGCAAGCGUUACUCGGAAUUACUGGGCGUAAAGGGUGCGUAGGUGGUCGUUUAAGUCCGUUGUGAAAUCCCUGGGCUCAACCUGGGAAUGGCAGUGGAUACUGGACGGCUAGAAUGCGGUAGAGGGUAGUGGAAUUCCACGUGUAGCGGUGAAAUGCGUAGAGAUGUGGAGGAACACCAGUGGCGAAGGCGACUUUCUGGGCUGUAACUGACGCUGAGGCGCGAAAGCGUGGGGAGCAAACAGG